rnacentral:tRNA from 1 species
UCCUCGGUAGUAUAGUGGUAAGUAUCCCGCCUGUCACGCGGGAGACCGGGGUUCGAUUCCCCGGGGAGGUU